CRGAUCCCAUCAAAACUGUGCAGUUAAGCGUGUUUGGGCGAGAGUAGUACUAGGAUGGGUGACCUCCCGGAAAGUCCUCGUGUUGGAUCCCUCUUUUCUUUUUUCGGUUUUUGUCCUCUUUUUUUUGUUAAGAAUGUAUGACUCUAUUACUUUUAGACAGUGAGGCCAAACUUCGGAUGUGAUACCUUUUCGGAAAGCCCAAAAAGAGCUCUCUGAUGAAUAAGGAAGGAAAAUGGAAUUCUUCUAUUGGUUUUUUUUUCUACUCCAAAUUUUGACGUUAAUGUACUUUUUUGGGCCUUUUCGUGAUCUUUGCUAUAUACGGAGCGAAAAUUAUAUGUUCGGACAGUGUUUUCGAAUAUUUUGCAUGUAUCAAAGCUCUUAUAAACAAGAUAGGGUAUUCCUACAUAGCUGGUGGGACCCAUGGCAAAUGGAUCGUAAAGUCUUCAAAAAAGAAUAGAUACGAUUGCAUUGCAUGUAGUAGCGGAUGCGAUCAUACCAGCACUAAUGCACCGGAUCCCAUUAAAACUCCGCAGUUAAGCGUGCUUGGGCGAUAAUAGUACUAGGAUGGGUGACCUCCCGGAAAGUCCUCGUGUUGAAUCCCUCUUUUCUUUUUCGGUUUUUCUCUUCUUUUUUUUGUUAAAAAUGUAUGACUCCAUAACUUUUAGAUAGUGAGGCAAAACUUCGCAUGUGAUACCAUUUCGGAAAUCCUAAAGAGAGCUCUCCGAUGAAUGAGGAAGGAAAAUGUAAUUCUUCUAUUGGGUUUUUAUUCUACUCCUAAUUUUGACCUUAAUGUACUUUUUCGGGCCUUUUCGUGAUAUUUGCUAUAUUACAGGGCGAAAAUUAUAUGAUCGGACAUUGUUUUCGAAUAUUUUGCAUGUAUCAAAGCUCUUAUAAACAAGAUAUGGUAUUCCUACAUGGCUGGUAUGACCCACAGCAAAUGGAUCUUAAUUCUAGACUUUUUGUAAUCCCGAUUUCUCUUUAUCUAUUCAGUAUUCAGUAUUCAGCUUUUGUUCUUGAUUUCGUUUACUGUUGUUCAUUCUGUUAUCAUCAUGUUGUUACACUGUUGUUAUCAUGUCUUCCACCUGUUCAACGUUUAUGCUUUCUGUUAUGAUGUCUGAGUAGUGAAUAGGUUUUUGAGGAUGGCUUAGAGUAGUGUAGGAUUCUCAGUAUGCUAGGUGAUUGAGUAUUGAUUGAUAGAUCCCUUCUGGAUUAGUUGUUCUUAAUGCCUAUUGCUUUCUGAUCAACUGGAAUUUGAGCCCAGACAUUUCCGUGCCCAAAAGGUGUUCGAUGAAAUGUUUGAACCACUAAUUCCAGAGAUUCGUGACCCUGUACCAAGGUAUUGGUUGCAAGGAGCGUUUUGGCUUUAACUUGUUGAUUCGUAAUGCCUGUUAGGUUAGCUCUCGUCAAUGGUGAUUGAGUCUGGGACUAGGUUAACUUGAGGGUCUCAGUUGCGGUGGCACUUAGAUUUGGUUAAUGAACUUGUUAUCUAAGGU
rnacentral:sRNA from 1 species